rnacentral:ncRNA from 2 species
AACGUUCAUCCUUGGUAUGUGCCAAGGACGGAAGUAAGGAGAUUUCCUGAAGGAACGCGCC